CUAAAUCAUAUCCCUGAGCACCACAUCCAAACGGCUCUUAAACACGUCCAGGGAUGGCAAUUCAACCACCUCCCUGGGGAGCCUAUUCCAGUGCUUAGCUACCCUUAGGUAGGUUAAAACUUGUAAUGCAGAGAAUCUCACUUUAGACUCAGGGAAUCGGACAGCUGAAGUUGGGAGGUAAGAGGUUUUUUUAUUUUUGGGAUUAUAUUCCUAAAGGUGCAACCUGUAUUGGUGUACUGUGGCAUAGACUCCAUGUCACUGGAUGCUGAAUGGUCAGUGUCACUAAUCAUGUAGCUUUUGGAAAGAGUUUGUGUAGCAGGAGCAUUUUGUCUGCAGUAACAAAACUAAAGGAGGUCUGUUCUUCCACUGGAGCUACUGAGGUGGGAAUACAAGCACAGGACAUGACUGGUACUUUCUAGAGCCAGCCAAUCUUGCUUGUGUCUAGUGGUUUGUUAUUUUUCUUGUAGUGAGUACUGUUAGCCAGACCCUAGGACUUGUCACAGCCAGGAACAGGAGCAAUAUUGCAGCUUCACCUGGAAGUGACCAACUUUCAGCACAGAUAAUAAGCAACUGCAUUAUCAAAAUGGGGGUCCCUGUUACAGCCUUCUGUUAGCAUGUCCUUUACCUAUAAGGAUCUGCUGGAUGACUGUGUACAGUAGUACAAGAUUUAGGUUCUUCCCCAUCCUUUUGCUACAGCAAGGGAAAAAUGUAGUCAGAUUUCAAAAUCCAGUUUUAAGUGUGGAAGAUGAAGUGUAUUGCUGAUGCCAGUGUAAUGGUAGCAUCAAGGGUUAACAGGCUCCUGCUUACUAGUUCAUUACUUGCUGAAAUGGAAAGUGUUGCUCUGGCAGCAUUAAGAUACCAGAACUUUCAUUGCAAAACCAGUAGGGUGCCACAGCAGGAAACAGCCUGAUCAGAGAAAUGCUUUGUGAAGACAUUUUAAAUAGAAUUCUGACAGAACAUCGAGUCCUGGAUCUACAAAAAGCAGCUUUGCUGGCCCUGGAGUGAAUUAUCAUGUGUUCUGAUACCUCUUGAGAAGCAGUCUUCAUUUUCCGGCUCUUCAGUGUGAUCUUAUGCAGCGUAAUGCUUCCACCUGAAUAAUUUACGAGGCAAAAGCACUCAAAGUAUGAAAACAUCUGAAGGAAGACAGUCUUCCCUGGGCCGUUGCAAGGUACCUUUGUGCUGAAGCCUAUUUCCCUAGGAAAGUACAUCCUCCAACACUCAGAAUACACAUCAGGUAAGUGAAGUACAAAGCGCAUAUGAAGUGAAAGGAAGAGUCUGAAAAGUGAGCAAAACCACCACUUACAAUUUGCCUAUGAGUGCUUAGGUAAUUCUUAAUGCAUUGAGGAAUACAAAUCAAUCCCCCCCCAAACAACUCUAUCCAUCCAACCAGGACCCCAAUGCUGAAUGCAAGUGCUGAUGGGCAUCUUCAGGGGCUUGAUUAUCCAAAGUGCUAAGAAACCACAAAUUCCAUUGUCACAGGUAUGUAACAGAUUUGAAGACUGAGCUACUUUAUUUAAAUGCUUCAGAUUUAGCCAUUUAACUUAAUGAAACCAACUCUGUGGGUUUCAUUGGUGUUCCAAAGGCAAAUGCUAUCCCAGUUUUGGGAAGAGACAAGCAGGACAGCAAGAUGCUGAAAGUGCCCUGAGCUGCAGUGGGUGAUGAGGAUGUGCUGGGAACUCAGAUGCUUUGGUAGCUCUGUGGGAAUGAAGGGGUCACACCGGGAGACCUCUGGGAAAAGGGGUGGGAGAAGGGAAACCCAAUGUCAUCAUCAAAGAAAAGGGAAACAAGACAUCAGCAACAGUCCCGCAUCUCUGAGCAGGUCACAGCCAAGGUGCUCUGUUUCCCUCUGCUGGUAAAACCUCAAGAUUUUUUUACUAUUAUUACCCUCUAGAAUUCUGGGUGUUGUUUUUUUUUGCUGGGGGUUUUCUGCUGGAGGUGUCUGUGUGCCACAGUGUGCUGCGUGUGCCUGUGCACUGUGCUGAACAGUGCCUGUGGGAAUGAUCAGGUUUCUUGUUCCCUUCCAAACCUCCCUCAGUUCUAUUGCAGAGCUCUGCCAUGUAGCCAGCUCUGUUUAAUGCUGUUGACUUCAGCAGAGUUGGGCAUGAAUCUAAAUUAUUAAGAAAUAUUUUGAGGUGAUUUAUGUAUAUUUGGGAAGGUGUCACUGAUUUCUCAGCAUGAAAGCAAUGCCAUAACACUAACACUAUUCUUAGGCAGUCUAACACUUUUUAUACAGAGCUGCUGCUAUUUGGUUGCGUUCAGAAGACAGAACAGAGAUUCUGUUGUAGGAAAGUCUCAAGAUUACGAGCUGGUAGGAAGAUGAUGUCAUUGUACACAUGGCACCGAAUGCACUAUCUAGAUAUUUUAAUUGCUCAGUCAGACCACACGGCCCAGAGCCAGCUGCAGUAAGACCUCAUGCGUGAUCCUCUGCUUCCCAUUGCCAAAGAAAAUAUCAGUGUUCAUAACCAUUAGAGGUCUUUAGAAGUAAGCAAAAUUAAUUUGGGAAGGAGCUUUCUGAGCUUUCACAGGCACCGUCUUAUAGAGACAUAGGUCUCCCGGCUUAUCCACUAUCUUGGGGUCUUCCAGGGUGUAUCUUCCUUUCCACAUGACAUCCCCAACAGCAGAAGUUUCCCAUGUCCCACUACCAGGGGCAGCAUUUUACACUGGGAAUGCAUUUGAGUUUUUUCCACAUGUGAUAAAAACAAAUGGAGAAUUUUAUCUCUAGGAGAAAUAAGUGACUCUUACACUUACUUGCAAGUGCUUUUCUUGGAAAGUCCAAUCGUUCAUGCACAUGUACUUCAGUUUAACAGGACUGUUAGAUUAAUUGAGCUGUUGAGCAUGUCUGGUCACAAAGUAUGUUGUAACUAGUUUCUGAGGGCCCUGGGCAGGCUGGCAGGGCCUAGGAGAACAACCAGAGGUAUUGCCAUACAGACUGAUGGGUCUUACAGUGAGUAGACAUUGAAAUUAAUUUACCGUUAACGAAAGUGAUGGGAUGAGAGGAAACAGAAUGCUUUUGGACAAAUUGCUCUGCUUCUGUUGCUCAAACACUCCACUUCUUGAAUUUACUCUGUAAAAGUAGUCAAGAAAACGCAUGCUUCACUGAAACCCUGAAACCCUGAAACCUGGCUGUGUUGGAAAGUUGUUCAUCCUGUGUAUUAGGUCUGCAGGUUCAGUAAAUGUUAGAGGAGGAGCUUGUUUCUAUUCUAUAUCACUGGAGGAAAAUAGCUGCUUAAUUCAGCCUAAUCUCUACUACUCAAGAUAAUAGGAUUCCAGGGACAUUACUCUCAGAUUAGCUGGAAAACCGUGACUGCCUGCAAUAACUGUGGGCAAAAUUUAACUCCCUUCUGCACUGUUGUUAAUGUGCAAGAAAGCGUGAGUUCACAUAGAUGAGCCAAUCUCUGUUUGAUUUGCAAGGCAAGCCAUUAAAAAGAAAAAACAAUCAUUUCAUAGUAAACUGAGCACAAUUAACUGGCUUCUGGGGAAGAUCGACAUUUUUCCAGGGACAGUUCUGAAAGCAGAAAAGGACCACAGCAGCAAAACCACAUAAAUUAGAAACUCUAGGGAACACAGUGUGAGAGAGAAUGUAUCUUUUUGUUAACCCUCAGCAAAUGAUAUGAAAGUGGGCAAUUUUCAGAUCUCUGCCAUUUGGAAAUGAGAGAAUUGAGUGAUGCUGGAUCGUAUAUCCCAUGACUUAACAAUUUUUCAGCACUCUUUUACACGUUUUGCUUGGCUGGAUGCCUCCCUUUUUUUUAUUUUGGUCCAUAAUGAACAUAAAUGCCUUAAGCAUGACAGUAAGGUUGGUCUCUUUCCUCACUCCCCCUCUUUUGGGAGUCAAUCAUUCACACAGUGCGAUCAGAUCUGUGUAACAAAGAGGGAAAGGAAGAACCAAGGCUUUUCCAUUUCAGGUCAUGUGAGUAUAGUUUCUGGAGUCGGAAUCCCUGAAAAGAAGCACAGGACAGCAGUGAUACUUUGAAUACGUAUGCAGCAGGUUAAAACCUUUCUUCUCUCUGCAUUUUUUUGUUUCAUUAUUGCAUUUCAGAGCAUGGAAUUUUAAUGUAGAUUCCAAUGUAGAUCAGCAAAAAGUUGAGUUUGCAGUUAAAGACUCAAUGGGUGGAUGUACUGAGAAUCUUAUGAUCUUGUUCUCAGUUUCUCACAGAUAUUCCGUGUAUUUGGGUAUGAGUUCUGAUGUCUGUGUUUCCGUGACAGAAGAAAGGCAGAACUACUUAUCCCUGUCUGUGCUUAGAGAUAAUGGGGGAAAAGACUAAAUAGAAGCUACUGUUUAUAUAUGCAGGAAAGAGCCACUAACAGCAGAAGAGCUGAACUACCCUAGGGAAGGUCUGCAGAGGUACCACGAUCAGCACACAUGGCAGGCAUCUGCAAUCCUUCAUCUAAAUCCUCAGCAUGCAAUGUGCCCAACGGGAUAUUUCUGGCCUCAGUUUUGUACCUUGUCACUGAUAUCCAGCAACUGUCACCAGUUCCUUUUAGACCAUCGCUCCACUCUCCAGAACUGGUUUAGGUUGCUCAUCUGCCUCUGCCUGCCCACUCUUGCUCCUGGGCUUUUGCCCCAGGCAGGUUUGCCAGGUGGGUUCCUCAUGCUGCUGCGGGGUGGCUGACGGCCCUGUGCAGGAUGAGUGGCUGAAGUACUCCUGCCAGUAUACACACUCAUUGGAUGAGUUAAUCUUUGGCAAUUACAGUCUGGUACACGGCCUAAUUAGUUUUGCACCUUGUAGUUGUAAGUUCAUUUACUGUGCGUUUCCUUACUCUGCCAAUGAAAACAUCGCACAAGUCAGCUGAAAGCUCACUAAAUUCCAGACACAUAACUUCUGUUUCCCUCCCCCUUCUCACAAGGCCUAUCGCCCAGAAGAGAUGUGGGUUAAUUUGACAGAAUGUCUUUGACAAAUGGGUUUAUCUGUUACUCAUUUUCACACUUAGGAAGUUUUUAUUCAUUUCAGACUUUUAUUUUUCAGACGUUGAAGUUUAAAAAAUGAUCCUAUUAUUCAUUGGUCCAUCUUUGCUUUUUUCUUUCAGUAAAAAUCCUCUAUAAAUCAGGAGCUACCUUGUUGAAUAAAUAGAAAUAUUCUGUUUUAAAACCCACGUAAGAUUGGAGGUCAUUUUCUUAAGGGAACAUGUUGUACAACUUCAUCUUAAUUACAGAGACUGAAAGAAAAAUAAGAAAAAUGAGUUUUCUGAGAAAAGCAUGAUCUGGAACACUUACAAGAAGCAGUAAUAUAAGUGGGUUUGCUGUUGGUCUUUGUGGGAGCAAUAAGAAAUUAUGAAGGUUUGGCUGACUCCUGUCCUGAGAGCUUGAGCAGGACUGGCGUGAGUAGAAGAGCAAAAGCCAACUGGAGCCUCUCUACCAAAUGUUUGCAUCACAUCAUGCACCAAAAACCCCAAUUGUUUUAUGCACACAAAGUGCACGACAAACUGACAGCACGGUGGCUGCUGGAAUUGCUUUGGGACAGCUAAGAAUAUACUCCCUUGUGGUUGUGGCUAAUAUAGCAGCAAGGUGAAGGGGUUUGGACAGGAAAAUGGCAAAUUGUUGCUGUGUUCAACAGCCUUCUGGGGCCUCUAGCAGACCAGAAGUGCAUACUUUCAUACUGGAUCUUACCCAAUGGCUUUACAAUAAAAGUAAUGCUAUAUAAACACACAGCAUGCUGCAAACUCCAGCUUGGUAGCGUGGGUGAGAGAGAUGUUUCUGAGUUAAUUUUUCAUAAGAGAAAACAGAGAUUCGUGUUCUUCAGCUACGGUAAACCUUGUGUGGAUGAGAUGAGUCUACAGCAGAGUCUGCCAACAAUCCCAUCCCAGAAAGCAUUCACUACAAGAGGUACACGAUGGUAACCUUUUGCAGACACCGAGUAUUAGAGAACAUGCUUUUCAUCAUGGAAUCCUUAGUUUGGAAACGACCUCUAAGAUCAUUUAGUCCAACCAUCCAGCUACCACCAAUACUACUCACUAACCAUGUCCCUCAGUGCCACGUCUAAGCAGGGGCGUUGACUCCACCACCUCCCUGUGCCAGUGCCUGACCACUCUUGUGGAAAGGAUUUCCUAAUACCUAACGUGAAUCUCUCCUGGUACAGCUUGAGGCCAUUCCCUCUCAUCCUAUUGCUGUUACUUGUGGGAAGAGGUGUUCAUCAUUGUAAACCCAGAUUUGGAAAAAUAAGUCAUCAAAUAAAAACGUUAGGAGAUAGAAGGAGAAAAUGUCACAUUUUUUUUCAGACCACAGGAAUUUGUCACCAUGGAGAUCCUCUUGUUUUCUUUGAAAAUAUCUCAGAUCUUAUGGAUGGAGCAUAUGUGAUAGAAGUAAAACAAUAUCGUCAAAAAUUCACAUUAAACAUUUUAGAAGGAAGUUUCUGAGCAGCAACCAACUUUGACAGACUGUUCAUGCAGCAAAAAUAUGCUCACAAUCUUUUCCUUAAGAGCUUUUUCUUUCUAAUGUAAAGCAACUGAAGAUUUUAUUUUCUAAACUGGCUUAUUUUUAAGGAACUUAUGAUACAUACAGCUGAAAGACUUCACUAUUUUGUUUUAGUUUUGUACAGUGAAAUGCUCUUCAUAAUGAGAAGCAUAGAGGUUGUAAGAGAUGUAAUCUGGUUUUAGGCCUAGCAAUGAAUUGAACUCCUGUAGCCAUACAGCCCAAGUUAUAGAAAUGGUGCCCAUCCAUCCUUCCACGUUUCACACUGGGUGGGUUUUGCAGUCAGACAUAAUUGCAGAGCAGAAAAGACAUCUCCUGUCCUUCCACAAUGCAUAAGAAGAUAGGAUGAAGCAUAAAGUCAGAAUAAAUAUCCCAAUGUGCUUAGGCUAAUCUAAGGGAAGGGAAACUGAGUAUUUACCCUUAAUCAGGAUCAGAUUUGUCCAGCUGGGCCAUGUGGUAGUAAUCUCUGUGGAGAUGCAUUUAGCAAGGAUGGCAGUGAGAACUGCGGUCCUGGGGCCAGGAGAUGGCAAUUCCUGGCUCUGGUGCCCACAUGGCCCAAGGAACUAGUCCAUGGUUGAAGGAGCUGAUCCAUGCAUGCUCCAGAGAGCUAGGCAGCCUCAUUGAGAACAGGAAAAUGCAAGGCACGCUUUGAGUGGGACAGGUUGUUCUGCAGUGCCUUUGCACUAUGGAUAUCCAGGAUGCAGCCUAGGUGCUGAGUCAAGUCUCUGCUUUCACUUUUCCUUUUUUUCCCCCCUCAGUUACAUGGGUAAUAAGUAAUGCAAAGGAAACAUAUAAGUAUUUCCUUUGUCAGUGAACAAAACAACUAAUCGGAGCAACUAAAGGGCUUCAGCUUCACAAAACUGCAAAUACUCUAUUGAGGACAAUUCAGAAAACUUGAGCUGAAAAUGUAGAAAAAUUGGUGCUUAGGGUACAUGGAUGUUGGGAAAUCAUGAACUCAGAAAUUCCUGCAGCUAAAAGCUGCCCUAUGAAAUUCAUCAGACGAAAGCAAUGGUUUCUGCCAUUUCAAGAGGCCAUCUUCAUAAUAGCUGGUAAUCAUGUGGUACUGGGAAUAGUGAGUGAUUCCAUUUGCAUUUCUUUAAUGAGUUGAUUUUUGUGUUCUACCCGCUGAGCUACGAUACUAGAAACAGUAGUUCUAUCUGACACGAGUUGAAAGUGUUUAAGGGGGAAUAUACUCUGUCUCUUUUAUUGGUGCUGAACGGUAAGAAGGUUUUCUUACAGCGUGUUUGUAUACAUUUAUUUGUGUUGAUGAUAACAUUUGGGCUAUUGCAACUUCUGGAAACCAAGACUCAAAUCCUGCUGGCAAACACCCCUGCCUUCUCUCCUCCCAACUCGUACACAACUCUCUUCAGUGGCUGGUGGCCCUGGCUCCAAACUCAUCCCGGUUAUUUCCCAGUCAACCCAAGCGUUGGCCACCUUCUGGUGCCAGCUCCAGAUGUAGCCCCAUCUUGCCAGUCACUUAUUUAACUUGGGAAACACUUGCUACAUGAACAGUGUCAUACAGUCUCUCUUCAUGGCUUCAGAGUGAGUUGUUGCUCCCUUGUUCCCUCUUAGGACUGCUCCCGGGUUGCUCUUUGCACUGGCACUGUGCUUCCCACAAUGCUAAUUGUCCAUCUUGUUUUGCAUCUGCGGUUGUCUUCUGCAGCUUUCGGCAUUCCGUGUUGAAUUUAAACGAGAGUGACCUCCAGCCCCUGAUGACAAAACUGAAGUCGCUCUUUGCAUUGUUGGAGCACAGUCAGGUAAUUAUUUCAUGUUCUAGUUAUUUCUUUGGACCAAAGUCCAAACACCACAACAGCAACAAACCUUUAGAUUCCAGAUGUUGUGAAUCUUUCAUAUCUGAGGGAAAGUAAGAAAAAUAGCCCAUACACAAAGUA